CACGUCAAACUAGUCGAUCACAGACAGUGUGGAUGGCAGCUGUGUCGUUGGACGUGUCAGGCUGAUGAAUUUACCUCUUUGGAAGAAAUAAAGGAAAUAAAAAAAAUCAACUAUGUUACUUUGAUUAAUCAUGAGAGGGCUUUCUUAUCUGUCUGAGAGGCUGGCUUCAUGUCUCACGUCUUCAAAAAGAGUCACAAACACGGGGUGACAAGGAAACAGACAGCAAGUAUGGUCAGUCUCUGGGGCACCUCCACUGAGCAACCCCUCUUAACAAGCUAAUAAAACAUCCAUUAAAGGGGUAGUUCACCCAGAAAUUCUCUCAUUAUAACCCUCAAGCCAUCCCAGAUGUGUAUGACUUUCUUUCUUCUGCAGAACCCACAUUAUGAUUUUUAGAAGAAUAUUUCAGCUCUGUAGGUCCAUACAAUGCAAGUGAAUGGUGACCUAAACUUCGAAGGUCCAAAAAUCACAUAAAGGCAGCAUAAAAGUAAUCCAUAUGACUCCAGUGGUUUAAUCCAUAUCUUCUGAAGCGAUAUGAUAGGUGUGGGUGAGAAAGUCUAUUUUACUAUAAAUCUCCACUUUCACUUUCUUCUUCUUUUGUUUUUGGCGAUUCACAUUCUUCAUGCAUAUCACCACCUACUGGCCAGGGAGAAGAAUUUAUAGUCAAAAAUGACUUUAAUAUUGAUCUGUUUCUCACCCAUCUAUCGUAUCACUUGGAUUUAAUCAUAUUGAUUACUUUUAUGCUGCCUUUAUGUGCUUUUUGGAGCUUCAGAUAUUUGGUCACCAUUCACUUGCAUUGUAAGAACUUACAGAGCUGAAAUAUUCUUCUAAAAAUCUUCAUUUGUGUUCAGCAGAGGAAAGAAAGUCAUACACAUCUGGGAUGGCAUGAGGGUGAGUAAAUGAUGAGAGAAUUUUCA